CCCUCCCGACAAUGGCACUCAAAUUCUCUCAUUUUCUCAUGCCCUCUCUGUCACAUUCGUAGCUCGAUCUCCCUCUUCUGGGACUUAGCGUUCUGAGCAUGCGGUUUUUGCAACGGUCAUUUCGUGCCGCUUCGAUCUCAUCACCUUCUUUCCCCUCCCACCCCUCUUUUUGAUCCCCGCUUUGGGGCUUGCAAAUUUUUGACAUGUCAAAUGAGAGUGAAGCUAAAAUGUAAACAACAAGUAUUCGCGUGUGCCGUGAUUUUAAUAAACAUAAAAUCAACCACGGAAGUAUGAUUUAGUUGUGGUGGAAGCGAAAAAAAAAUGCUUGGAGCAUGGAAUAAAACCGGAUGAAAUUUCUAGCCUUCACGCACGAUGCCGACGCUGAGGUUUUACAGGUGAACAACAAUUAGCAACUCCCGAUCGAAUUGCACACAACAACCACCCACAAUCACAGCUGUAAAAGUAACACGGAUAGGUAGCAAGGAAAUCAAGCUUGUACACAGAAAUCUACACAAAAACUGGGUUUUAUAAGCGCACGAAAAGCGACGCGGCUAUCUUUGAAUAAAAAGUAAACAAAAGAGUUUCGUUUUAAU